rnacentral:rRNA from 1 species
GCUUUCGGGUGUCGCUGAUGGAUGGACCCGCGGUGCAUUAGCUAGUUGGUGAGGUAACGGCUCACCAAGGCCACGAUGCAUAGCCGACCUGAGAGGGUGAUCGGCCACAUUGGGACUGAGACACGGCCCAAACUCCUACGGGAGGCAGCAGUAGGGAAUCUUCGGCAAUGGACGAAAGUCUGACCGAGCAACGCCGCGUGAGUGAAGAAGGUUUUCGGAUCGUAAAACUCUGUUGUUAGAGAAGAACAAGGAUGAGAGUAACUGUUCAUCCCUUGACGGUAUCUAACCAGAAAGCCACGGCUAACUACGUGCCAGCAGCCGCGGUAAUACGUAGGUGGCAAGCGUUGUCCGGAUUUAUUGGGCGUAAAGCGAGCGCAGGCGGUUUCUUAAGUCUGAUGUGAAAGCCCCCGGCUCAACCGGGGAGGGUCAUUGGAAACUGGGAGACUUGAGUGCAGAAGAGGAGAGUGGAAUUCCAUGUGUAGCGGUGAAAUGCGUAGAUAUAUGGAGGAACACCAGUGGCGAAGGCGGCUCUCUGGUCUGUAACUGACGCUGAGGCUCGAAAGCGUGGGGAGCAAACA